rnacentral:rRNA from 1 species
AACGCUAGCGGGAGGCUCCCACCCGUUAACCGAGCGGUAGAGAUUCUUCGGAAUCUUGAAGAGCGGCGCACGGGUGCGGAACACGUGUGCAACCUGCCUUUAUCUGGGGGAUAGCCUUUCGAAAGGGAGAUUAAUACCCCAUAAUAUACUGAGUGGCAUCACUUAUUAUUGAAAACUCCGGUGGAUAGAGAUGGGCACGCGCAAGAUUAGAUAGUUGGUGAGGUAACGGCUCACCAAGUCAAUGAUCUUUAGGGGGCCUGAGAGGGUGAUCCCCCACACUGGUACUGAGACACGGACCAGACUCCUACGGGAGGCAGCAGUGAGGAAUAUUGGACAAUGGGUGAGAGCCUGAUCCAGCCAUCCCGCAGAUGAAGGACGACGGCCCUAUGGGUUGUAAACUUCAUUAUGUACAGGGAUAAACCUUUCCACGUGUGGAAACGCUAGAAGGUACUGUACGAAUACAGCACCGGCUAACUCCGAUGCCAGACAGACCGCGGUAAAUACAGAGAGGGUGCAAAGCGUUAUCCGAGAUUUAUAGGGUUUAACACGGGUCCGUCACGCGGAUCUGUCAGUCCAGAUCGGUGAAAUUCUCAUAGCCUUAACUAU